rnacentral:rRNA from 1 species
UACGUAGGGUGCGAGCGUUGUCCGGAUUUAUUGGGCGUAAAGAGCUUGUAGGCGGCUCGUCACGUCGGGUGUGAAAACUCGCGGCUCAACCGCGAGCCUGCACCCGAUACGGGCGGGCUAGAGUUCGGCAGGGGAGACUGGAAUUCCUGGUGUAGCAGUGAAAUGCGUAGAUAUCAGGAGGAAUACCGAUGGCGAAGGCAGGUCUCUGGGCUGACACUGACGCUCAUGCACGAAAGCGUGGGGAGCAAACAGG